GUGUGGAACUUUCUAGCAAGUAUUUUAUUUUGUAGUAAAUACUAAUAAAUACAAUAUAUUUUGUUUUAAAAGCAUGUUUAAGGGGAAAGAAAUCCAACUUAUCUACCUCUUAAAAAGUAUUGGUGUUAGGUUAGCAAGAGAGGAAGAGAUGACAAAUUUUCAGAGACAAAUUUUCAACUCUGGUAUCUAUUAGUUUUGAUUUCCAAGACAAAGUAUUUCUGUCUUUUAUUUUCUCUAUGGAGGUAUUUUCAACUAUGUUGCUAGGAGGGCUGUUUAAGUAAACAUGAAAUUGGCAGUGAGGGUAGAGAGACUCUAGGAAAUUCUUUUGUUAUUUAUAGCUACUUAGUAAGUUGUUUCAUUGGCAGUGCUGGGGAAGGCACUUUGAACAUGGUAGGCAAGUACUCUAACACUGAUACACUCCAGACCAUAUAGAAGACAAUAUGAUGGCUGGGUAAAAUAGAAAAUGUUUCCAAUAAGUUGGAAUUCAGAUUUGUAGAUGUGUUCAUGGUUUUCUGGAGCAAAAGUUUAGAUUAGGAAAUUAAGAUAUUAGCUACAAAUUAAUAAAACCAAAUUAUUUUGAGAUAUCAUCUUAUUUCAAUGUGGUUUUAAAAAGAAUAAUUUUCUUUAAUAGUCUCCAUAAAAUUGUAACUGUUGCUUUUGAAUAUCGCGACUUGAAUGGGAAUGCAGAUGUUACUAAAACAGCUGUAUUUUGGCAGGCAUUUUAUUGACAGUUGAUGUGAAAGUACAGUUAGAAUUGUAAAUGGCACUUAUCUCUUGCCAGAUAGCUUUACUGUAAACAAAAGACCCCAUCCGGUACCUAGAAGAACGAAGCAGUCCCGCUUCUUUGUCAUCUACUCAGCAAAAGUUAACAAUUAAACAAAAAAGCAUUUAAUGUGAACUUUAGUUCAAAUAUCAAAGGUCUAACCCAGAAACACAAAAGCCUGCGCUUCUGCGAUGACUU
rnacentral:lncRNA from 1 species